CGGGCUCGGCGCGUCCCGGUGGGCUCGCCGGGGAGGCUGAAUGCCUUCUGCUUCCUCAUUGGGAGGAGCCAUGGUGACCCUGGGCCCCCGCGCCGGUGUCCGGGAUGGUUGGUCCUCCUCGUCAGCCGGCUACCUCGUUCGUGACCCCACCUCUUUUCCCUUUAUUUUCUUCGGUUGAGCAGCCCUCCUUUGCCUUUACACCUCCCAGAGUUGUUUCUGGUUAGGCCAGUGCUGCUGACUUUUGGGACGUUACAGAUGAAGUCUGAAUGAAUGUUAGAGGUGCCCUCCUCAUGCCACUUGGGUAUCAACAUUCUAUGUCAGGCCUCCCUCUCCCCUCCUCACUCCAGUAUUGGAUGACUUCUUCACCCUGUUCAGGCUCUGACAUAACAACCAUGCAGUGCUACUCCUCCACAGGAAUGCUACCCCUCCAAGCUCUGCUUGGGCUCUGACACCUCAUCAGGACCAGAGCCUGCAAAGUCUAAGAUCAAGAUAUUAGCCUAUCCAUUUCCUGCUCAGUGCUUUCAUUCUGGCUUUCAGACUAUGGCCUUCUCACUAUGCCCUUACAAGGUGAAGACAGAGCAAGCUCUCUGGUGUUUUUGUGUUGUUGUUUUUUUCUAUAAUGCCACUAAUAGUUUUCAUCAUGAGGACUCCACACUCAUGACUUCAUAGGAUCCUUAUUACCUCCAAAAGGCCUCAUCUUCAAAUACCAUCAAAUUAGGGGUUAGGGCUUCAACAUAAGAAUCUUGGGGUUUGGGGAACACAGACAUUCAGUCCAUAACAAUAAUACGUGUAAGUGCAUAUCAUAGAGUUUGGCAUAAAGUUGGUAUUCAGUGAAUAUUAGAGCCCUUUCUCUUCUC